AAAUUUCUUUAACCAAAAGUAUGGUUAACAUCACUCCUACUAAGACCUUCUGUCCUGUUUCUAAUAGGAUGUGCUAAAGAGGGCACCCUGCUUCUGCCAGUUCUUUCCCAUUAGUUAAUUAAGUGAUCACCAAAGAUAAAACAAAACCUCAAAAACCAAAGAACUCCAAACAAGUGAUGUUGAGAACUAUUUUGUAAAAAUUCCUGACAGGUGACCAUCAGGGAUAUUGUGUGCAAAUGGGUGGGAGUUCAAACUCAUACCCAUAAGGACCUACAGUCCAUCCCUAGCAGUAUGAGAUAGGAAAGCAGCAGGAAUGUUGCCCAUGACAAAAACCAACUCAGGACUAUCCCCAGAUGGAGCAGGCAGGGAGACAUGAACUAAACAUUUUCUGAUUCCUGAGUGAAACUCAAGAACUAAAGGGACACUAGUGUAAAUCUUGUAACAUAUAGACAGUCCAUCACUUGUUUAAUUUUAACGAACCUAUCCUUCUGGUUUCUGUCUGCACUGCAGAGCUGACCCUGUGCCAAGCUCUCCAUACCCAAGUCCUGCUGGGAGAAAGCUGGUCUCCCAGGAGUGCUGACACACAGGCUUACAAGAGGGACAAGCCACAGUCAGAGACAGCAAGACAAGCUAACACAACAGAUGACCAGAUGGUAAGAGGCAAGGGCAAGAACAUAAGCAACAGACACCAAGGCUACUUGGCAUCAUCAGAACCCAGUUCUCCCACCAUAGCAAGCCCUGUAUACCCCAACACAUAGGAAAAUCAAGACUCUAAAGUAAAAAUCACAUCUCCUGAUGAUGAGAGAGGACUUUAAGAAGGACAUAAAUAACUCCCUUAAAAGAAAUACAGGAGAACACAGGUAAACAGGUAGAAGCCCUUAAAGAAGAAACACAAGCCGGGAGUGGAGGCACACACCUUUAAUCCCAUUACUCGGGAGGCAAGGGCAGGCAGAUUUCUGAGUUCGAGGCCUGCCUGGUCUACAAAGUGAGUUCCAGGACAGCCAGGGCUACACAGAGAAACCCUGUCUCGAAAAACCAAAAAAAAAAAAAAAAAAAAAAAAAAAAAAAAAAAGAAGAAGAAGAAGAAGAAGAAGAAGAAGAAGAAGAAGAAGAAGAAACACAAAAACCCCUGAAAGAAGGCAACCUAGAGAUAGAAAACCUAGAAAAGAGAUCAGGAGUCACAGACAGAAGCAUCACCAACAGAAUACAAGGAAUAGAAGAGAGAAUUUCAAGGGCAGAAGACACCAUAGAAAACAUUGACACAAACAGUCAAAGAAACUGCAAAAUGCAAAAAGCUCCUAACCCAAAACAUCCAGGAAAUCCAGAACACAGUGAAAACCUAAGGAUUUUAUGUUGGGAGCCGCGCCCACAUUCGCCGUUACAAGAUGGCGCUGACAGCUGUGUUCUAAGUGGUAAACAAAUAAUCUGCGCAUGUGCCAAGGGUAUCUUAUGACUACUUGUGCUCUGCCUUCCCCGUGACGUCAACUCGGCCGAUGGGCUGCAGCCAAUCAAGGAGUGACACGUCCGAGGCGAAGGAGAAUUCUCCUUAAAAAGGGACGGGGUUUCGUUUUCUCUCUCUCUUGCUUCUUGCUCUCUUGCUUCCUGCACUCCUGCUCCUGAAGAUGUAAGAAAUAAAGCUUUGCCGCAGAAGAUUCUGGUCUGU
rnacentral:lncRNA from 1 species